AGUGAACGCUGGCGGUAGGCUUAACACAUGCAAGUCGAACGGCAGCACAGUAAGAGCUUGCUCUUACGGGAGUUGAGUGGCGGACGGGUGAGUAAUACAUAGGCAUCUACUUUUUCGUGGGGGGUCACGUAGCGAAACUUACGCCUAUAACGCAUACAAUCUCCAGGUGCAAGCAGGGCAUCUUAGGAACUUGCGCGAUUGCAUGAAACGAUGUCGGAUUAGCUAGUUGGCGGGGUAAAGGCCCACCAAGGCGACGAACCGUAGCGGGACUGAGAGGAUGAUCAGCAACACUGGAACUAAGACACGGUCCAGACUCCUACGGGAGGCGGCAGUGGGGAAUUUUGGACAAUGGGCGCAAGCCUGAUCCAGCCAGACCGCGUGGUUGAAGAAGGCCUUCGGGUGUUAAAGCCCUUUUGUUGGGAAAGAAAAGCAGCAGGUUAAGACCCCGCUGUUCUGACGGUACCCAAAGAAUAAGCACCGGCUAACUUCGUG
rnacentral:rRNA from 1 species